AUCCAAAUAUUAGCUUAACUUAUCACCGCCACGGAUAAGUGCAGUAAUAACAACUUUUUCGUUCACCCCCUCACCAUAUUGUUAAUUACGACACGCCUCGUCAGAUCUAAGUCAAUCUCUCGCUUUAUCAUUUCCUCGCUUAACCAGUGGACUCCUCUCUCUCCAUCGUAGCGGAGAUCGGCAUCCCCGGUUCCGCUUCCGUGGAUCUUGGAUUAGGGUUUCUUCUGGGGUCGGGAAAUGGGACAACAGUCGCUGAUCUACAGCUUCGUCGCGAGGGGCACGGUGAUCUUGGCGGAGUACACCGAGUUCAGCGGCAACUUCAACAGCAUCGCCGCCCAGUGCCUGCAAAAGCUCCCCGCUAGUAACAACAAGUUCACCUACAACUGCGACGGCCACACUUUCAAUUACCUCGUCGAGGACGGAUACACAUAUUGUGUAGUUGCUGUUGAGUCGGUCGGCAGGCAAAUUCCCAUUGCCUUUCUAGAGAGGGUGAAGGAGGACUUCAACAAAAAGUAUGGGGCAGGAAAGGCUGCAACUGCUUCUGCAAAUAGUCUCAGCCGCGAGUUUGGGUCCAAGCUUAAAGAGCACAUGCAGUACUGCGUAGACCACCCUGAAGAGAUAAGCAAGCUUGCCAAGGUGAAAGCUCAGGUUUCUGAAGUCAAAGGAGUUAUGAUGGAAAACAUUGAAAAGGUUCUUGACCGUGGGGAGAAAAUUGAGUUGCUUGUUGACAAGACAGAAAACCUUCAUUCCCAGGCACAAGAUUUUAGGCAGCAAGGGACAAAGAUGAGAAGGAAGAUGUGGCUACAGAACAUGAAGAUCAAACUGAUCGUCUUGGGCAUCAUUAUUGCGCUUAUCCUUAUCAUAGUUUUGUCUGUGUGUCAUGGCUUUAAAUGCUAAUGUCAAUGGAUAUGCUACUGUGGAAACCACCCUUUCCCUUAUAGGACUGGUUCUGUUUGUGUAAUGGUAUAGCCUACUAGUUUCAUGAACACUGGUGAUUUGUGGCUUUAGCAUUCCCGGUUGCGAAUGAGUAUUUUCCUUCCAUGUUCUUGCUUGCUGGGACUUCUAUGUUCUUGCUUGCUGGGAACCGGGAUGGGAGUAGCUUAGCAUAUUGUAUGUCAUGCGUGUAUAGCCUGGACGUGAUUCUUUCUUUCCAUAUGAACAGGCAGUUGCUUUGUUGAUGCUUUA